UACGUAGGGGCCGAGCGUUGUCCGGAGUUACUGGGCGUAAAGCGCGCGCAGGCGGCUCGUCAAGCCUGACGUGAAAGCCCCCGGCUCAACCGGGGAGGGUCGUCGGGGACUGGCGGGCUUGAGGUCGGCAGGGGUUGGUGGAAUUCCCGGUGUAGUGGUGAAAUGCGUAGAGAUCGGGAGGAACACCGAUGGCGAAGGCAGGUCUCUGGGCCACUACUGACGCUGAGGUGCGAAAGCGUGGGGAGCGAACGGG
rnacentral:rRNA from 1 species